CUCAACCAUGGAAGUGCCUUCGAAACUGUUGCUCUUGAGUCCCGGAGAGGUUGUCGGAAUUCGUGGUGUAGCGGUGAAAUGCGUAGAUAUCACGAGGAACACCAGAGGCGAAAGCGGACAACUGGACGGGUACUGACGCUCAGGCACGAAAGCGUGGGGAGCAGACAGGAUUAGAUACCCUGGUAGUCCACGCCGUAAACGAUGAAUGCUCGCCGUUGCCUCGUUAAGGGGCAGUGGCUAAGCUAACGCGUUAAGCAUUCCGCCUGGGGAGUACGAUCGCAAGGUUGAAACUCAAAGGAAUUGACGGGGGCCCGCACAAGCGGUGGAGCAUGUGGCUCAAUUCUAUGCAACGCGAAGAACCUUACCUAGGCUCGAACGCUAGGCGCCCGCUCCUGAAAGGGAGCUUUCCGCAAGGACGC
rnacentral:rRNA from 1 species